CUACGUGCCAGCAGCCGCGGUAAUACGGAAGGUCCAGGCGUUAUCCGGAUUUAUUGGGUUUAAAGGGAGCGUAGGCGGAUUGUUAAGUCAGCGGUUAAAGGGUGUGGCUCAACCAUACAUUGCCGUUGAAACUGGCGAUCUUGAGUGCAGACAGGGAUGCCGGAAUUCGUGGUGUAGCGGUGAAAUGCUUAGAUAUCACGAAGAACUCCGAUCGCGAAGGCAGGUGUCCGGGCUGCAACUGACGCUGAGGCUCGAAAGUGUGGGUAUCAAACAGGAUUAGAUACCCUGGUAGUCCACACAGUAAACGAUGUAUACUCGCGGUUUGCGAUAGAUUGUAAGCCGCCAAGCGAAAGCAUUAAGUAUACCACCUGGGGAGUACGCCGGCAACGGUGAAACUCAAAGGAAUUGACGGGGGCCCGCACAAGCGGAGGAACAUGUGGUUUAAUUCGAUGAUACGCGAGGAACCUUACCCGGGCUUGAACUAACGGKACGAAUCUAGAGAUAG
rnacentral:rRNA from 1 species